rnacentral:misc_RNA from 1 species
AAGUCGUAACAAGGUCUCCGUAGGUGAACCUGCGGAGGGAUCAUUACUGAAUGGCUCUUUGGCCUUCAACCUUGUAAACCUGUGGAAGCAAGAUGUGCUUCGGCGCUUCGGCGCCGCUUUUAUGCUUUAAUCAGUCUUUGUGUCUGAAUCAAAUACAAGAAAUAAAA